rnacentral:rRNA from 1 species
GACGAACGCUGGCGGCGUGCCUAAUACAUGCAAGUAGAACGCACAGUUUAUACCGUAGCUUGCUACACCAUAGACUGUGAGUUGCGAACGGGUGAGUAACGCGUAGGUAACCUGCCUGGUAGCGGGGGAUAACUAUUGGAAACGAUAGCUAAUACCGCAUAAUAUUAAUUAUUGCAUGAUAAUUAAUUGAAAGGUGCAAUUGCACCACUACCAGAUGGACCUGCGUUGUAUUAGCUAGUAGGUGAGGUAACGGCUCACCUAGGCGACGAUACAUAGCCGACCUGAGAGGGUGAUCGGCCACACUGGGACUGGGACACGGCCCAGAAUCCUGCGGGAGGCAGCAGUAGGGAAUCUUCGGCAAUGGACGAAAGUCUGACCGAGCAACGCCGCGUGAGUGAAGAAGGUUUUCGGAUCGUAAAGCUCUGUUGUAAGAGAAGAACGGGUGUGAGAGUGGAAAGUUCACACUGUGACGGUAUCUUACCAGAAAGGGACGGCUAACUACGUG